UACAGAGGUGGCAAGCGUUGUUCGGAAUUACUGGGCGUAAAGGGCUUGUAGGUGGCCAACUAAGUCAGACGUGAAAUCCCUCGGCUUAACCGGGGAACUGCGUCUGAUACUGGAUGGCUUGAGUGUGGGAGAGGGAUGCGGAAUUCCAGGUGUAGCGGUGAAAUGCGUAGAUAUCUGGAGGAACACCGGUGGCGAAGGCGGCAUCCUGGACCAUUACUGACACUGAAAAGCGAAAGCCAGGGGAGCAAACGGG
rnacentral:rRNA from 1 species